rnacentral:ribozyme from 13 species
UUGAAUAAAAGAAAAGGAGGGAAAGAGGGAUGGAAAAAUGUGUGUUUCUCACUCAUUUUUUCUCCUUCGUUCUUUCUUUCUUUUUAUUUCAUUGUCUCUGUCACCUGCUGGGUUGCAAAAACAUUUUGUACUGGUUCGGAGAAAUGCCGUUAGUUUUUGUGGUGAGAAAAGAAGUGAGGAAAAAGAAAGAAAAGUUG